rnacentral:tRNA from 1 species
GGAGGAUUCGCCUAGUGGCCUAGGGCGCACGCUUGGAAAGCGUGUUGGGGGCAACCCCUCACGGGUUCGAAUCCCGUAUCCUCCG